rnacentral:rRNA from 1 species
GCCCAAGAGAUCGGGAUAACACCUGGAAACAGAUGCUAAUACCGGAUAACAACAGAUGAUGCCUAUCAACUGUUUAAAAGAUGGUUCUGCUAUCACUCUUGGAUGGACCUGCGGUGCAUUAGCUAGUUGGUAGGGUAACGGCCUACCAAGGCGAUGAUGCAUAGCCGAGUUGAGAGACUGAUGGCCACAUUGGGACUGAGACACGGCCCAAACUCCUACGGGAGGCAGCAGGC